AAAUCCAACUUCCUUGCAGUUGGUUUGUUGCGAGGUUCUGUACAGAAACAACAGGGUCACACUUCCCAGCGGGAUGAUGUCGGCGGUUUCACUGAGUUUGUUCCUGGCGUUAAUAGUCCGUGUCCAUUCCGAUAUCGUUCUAACCCAGCCCAAGACAGAGACGGCCACUCCUGGAGGCUCCAUCACACUGAACUGUAAAGUCAGCGGGUUCAGUGUUGGCAGCUCCUGGAUGACUUUGGUCCGUCAGGUCCCCGGGCAGGGGCUGGAGUGGCUGCUUACCUACUACGGUUCUACUUACACCAAGUACUUCGCUCCGGGGAUAGAGAGCCAAUUUACUCCGUCCAAAGACAAUACGAAUAAUAUCUUCAUCGUGACGGCCAGCAGCCUGAAGAUCGAAGACACGGCUGUCUAUUACUGUGCGAGAGGGCCCACAGUGGAGCAAUAUAUUCAGACCCGUACAAGACCGGCACACUGUGACUAUCUUGACUACUGGGGAGGAGGCACCAUGUUGACGGUAACCAACGCGGCUCCAUCCGCGCCCAGUCCCUUCAUUCUCUUCACCUGCGAGGAUCAAGGCUCCGGUGGUUCGUUCACCUAUGGUUGUUUGGCGUUGGGCUAUUCCCCUGCGGGCGCCAGUGUUUCUUGGAAGAAAGAUGAUAUACAACUGGACGACGGAGUGAAGGACUACCCGGCAGUGUUCAAUAAGUUGGGAACUUACACCCGGAGCAGCGAGUUAACCAUCACCGCGGCGGCGGCAGCGGGAGGUGACAUCUUCUGCGUGGUUCAGCACAACCAGAACGAGUAUAAAGUGAAAGUACCAGACCGCGUGGUACAUCAUCCUACCGUCACCAUUACCAUAACUGCUCUUGAUGAAAUUAAGCGCAGCAGAAAAGCGAUCGCCGUGUGUUUGGUCAACGAUUUCACCCCAGCCAAAUUUACUGUGAACUGGCUGAAGAAUGGAAAUCGAUUGGAUUCUGGCAUCGUCACCUCUCCCGCCUUCCAGGUGAACGGUACCGGUAACUUCUCGGCGACCAGCCAGUUGACAUUCACAGCUGAAGAGUGGUUCGGAGAUUUCGUCUAUACCUGCCAAGUCAACCAUGAAAAAGAUUUGAAAAGCCAAAACAUCAGUAUGUCUUCAGGUAAGAAAUACAUCCGUGGUGUGUCUCGGGAUAUUAGUGUAAACAUUAGCGCUCAGGCCGGUUACUCCUGCAAAUGCUUAUGUUCACAUUCAUUAUUGUGCCACAGAUGUGAUUCCUGCGACAAACUGAUUAUUAAAAUCCUUCCACCACAAGUUGAACAAGAGUUAAUGGAGAUGACCGUGACGUUAACCUGUCUGGUAUCCGAUGCACCUUAUGGUAUCACAGUAUCUUGGAAACGUGGGAAUGUACAUUUGGUAUCAUACAUCCAGCCCACAGGACAUGCAGAUAUCGUACAGAGCAAAGUCAACAUUUCGACUCAAGACUGGCUGAGUGGGGAUUAUUUCGAAUGCGUGGUGAGCCAUGGUAAUAUGCCAAAGCCAAAAACUGAACGAAUCAACUGGAAGAAAGGUCAACAUCUGCUGCCACCUUCCGUCUCAGUCCUUCUGCCGCCGACAGAAGAAAUCUCCGCGCACAAGACUAUCACCCUCACCUGCUUCGUGAGAGGAUUCUCCCCUCGCAGGGUCUUCGUCACGUGGACACUUGAUGACAAGCGGGUGGAUGAGAGCAAGUACAAGAACACCGAGGUGGAGGCGGAGAACGGCAAUGAUACCUUCUUCACAUACAGCCUGUUAUCCGUUGGGGCAGAGGAGUGGGCUAGCGGAGCCUCCUUCUCCUGUCUAGUGGGGCACGAAGCACUCCCCAUGAAGACCAUCGUCAGAACGGUCAAUAAGUCCAGCGGUAAACCCAGUUUUGUCAACGUUUCCCUUGUAUUAAUGGACACUGUCAAUUCCUGUCAAUGAGAAUGAAUUAGUUUCAAAUUCCUCUGAAAUAAAUGCUAAUAAAUAUCUUUAACCUCCAA